UACGGAGGGGGCUAGCGUUGUUCGGAAUUACUGGGCGUAAAGCGCACGUAGGCGGCUUUGUAAGUUAGAGGUGAAGGCCUGGGGCUCAACUCCAGAACUGCCUUUAAGACUGCAUCGCUUGAACACGGGAGAGGUGAGUGGAAUUCCGAGUGUAGAGGUGAAAUUCGUAGAUAUUCGGAAGAACACCAGUGGCGAAGGCGGCUCACUGGACCGUUGUUGACGCUGAGGUGCGAAAGCGUGGGGAGCAAACAGG
rnacentral:rRNA from 1 species